CCCUUAGACGUUCUGGGCCGCACGCGCGCUACACUGACACAGGCAACGAGCUUUCCUUUACCGAAAGGUAUGGGUAAUCUUUUGAAACUGUGUCGUGCUGGGGAUAGAUCCUUGCAAUUUUUGAUCUUAAACGAGGAAUUCCUAGUAAGCGCGAGUCAUCAACUCGCGUUGAUUACGUCCCUGCCCUUUGUACACACCGCCCGUCGCUACUACCGAUGGAAUGGCUUAGUGAGGCCUCAGGAUCCGCGCUUAAUGUGUGGAGAAUUUGGACAAACUACGUCAUUUAGAGGAAGUAAAAGUCGUAACA
rnacentral:rRNA from 1 species